UUGAAAGAGCCUAUUCAUUCAUUGUUUUUUAAUAGAUUCUCGUUUGUUAUAUUGAAUAAUCAUUUUAGGCGCCAAGGGUAUGUCUCGAUCGCCACGGACAGAAAAACAAUAUCUAAAAUUUUGAAGCCUCGAGGCCAAAUUCUACGGAAACUUUUCAGCAAAGUGAAACUGCACACGUCAAUAUAUAUAAAAAACCGUGGUGGCUCAUUAGGAAUUAGAUAAGAAUUACGGGUGCACUGCAUACAACGUGGCAUAUACUCUGUUAUCUUAGUCUAACGUGCAAAACCAAGAUAAGUGGUUAUAACCAUGGAAAAUAAAGAUAAACACUAUCUUUUCUACAACAUUCUUCGAGGGAACUACCUGAUUUCGUAAACUUUAAUUUUAUGCAAAAUUUAAAAGAAGUUUCAAAGCUUUUGAGAUAAAAGUGAUCAUUCGACUCCUUGUUAGAUUUGAGACUGUUUAUAGCCUAUGCAACUCAUUGAUUAGUAAUCCGUUUAUUCAAACAAAGACGCACUAAUGGAUGUGAUAAAAAAAUGUUAUCUCUUAUUUUAAUCAAAAUACCACUUGGAUAAGGCACCAUUUAAUUAUUCAAUGUUAUGCUAAAGUCAAGAUCAAAAACAAAAACAGAAAAAGGGACCCUUGAGGGGAGCACAAGGACACAAAUGAUUACAUAAUCAGAUUAUUCGGUUUUUAAUAAACUGAGUUGAGAACGUGACUUGGCUGACAAAGGACCAACGCUCGAGAAACAUCUUUUUUAGAAUGGCUCUUGGGUGAAAAUUCACAUCAUCGACUCAGUUGAUAAAAGUAAAUAUUAAAUACCUUGAUUAAAGAAAGAGCUCUAAUGAGGCAAAAAAUUUGGUGCUCUUUAGCAGAGGAAACGAUUUACGCAACUCUGGUACUUGAGGCACUGAAGUGAAAACAAUUGUCUGCAAAGUCAAUGGUAGAGACUAGUUACAACGUGAUACGUUGACACGUGCAGGACUGUGACUGCAAAUUGCAGAAACACUCUUCAUUCUUCAUGUGUUUUAAAGGUUAAUCGUAUUAUCAUCUCUCAGGUCUUCUGGUCAAAGGUCUAAUGAAGUUUGUAUACAACAGUACAUGAGAAACGUUGUGUGGUCUUCAAAUUGUAGAAAUAGGUGUACAAUAUAAAAUAACCUUAACAUUGAAGUUGGUAAAAAAAAACACGGCGCCACAUCCCUCCAAGUGUUGUUGUUGAGAUCUUGCCUGUUUUGUCUUGCCUGUUUUUUGGAGCGAUAUAUUUGUACGUCAUACUGAGCUUAUGAUUGGCGAGUGCAAAGUUUAUAAGCCAGCAAAAUUUCCGUAAAAUAGUUCCAUAACAUACCUUCCUAUAACCGAAGUCAAUCAAGUCGCUUCCCAGCGGAUAAAAUGUACAAUUUAUUCGUUUGAUAAAAUAUCAUCACUGUUAAGUUCGGAUGACGCGAGAGCAAAAACGUAAAAGCAAGGGAGCUGAAAUGGUCAGUCCGACAUCAGCACAAGAACCAGGAGAGCAAACAACGGUAUGACAGCUGAUAUGUACAACUGAACUUUCGAGUUGCGAUAGUUUAAGACGUUUUUCGAAGCUUAUCGCACAAUUGUUCAUUUCGCAGCUCACAUUUUCCGAUGGCCAAGUUCGCGAUUUGCUUGAGGAAAUGGGGACAUACUUGGAAGGUCAUUUAGCGAUCUUAGACAAUACAAAACCACUGGAUGACCACCUGGCAAGAUGGGACUGAUUCGUAAUCCUGGCAGUUCGCUUUUUGUCGGAGCAGCCGACCGUGCAAUAAAUUCUGCAAAGGCCAGGUAGAUAGAGAUAGAUAGAUAAAUAGAUAGAUAGAUAGAGCAGGUAAAUGUUUGUUUAGUGUUUACUGUUGUCGAAAAUUUUCUGAUCCACGUUUGUUUGAAGUUUCAUUCUUUCUAAAAAAGUUACUGUUCUUCCCGUAGGGUCCGGAAUAUCCCGAGGUCCAACCGAGUAACUGAAUAAAUCUGCUUGUUUUUUGGCU